rnacentral:rRNA from 1 species
CCCGUAGGCGGCUUGGUAAGUCGGGUGUGAAAACCCCAGGCUCAACCUGGGGACGCCACCCGAUACUGCCAUGGCUUGAGUCUGGUAGGGGAGUGCGGAACUCCUGGUGUAGCGGUGAAAUGCAUAGAUAUCAGGAAGAACACCGGUGGCGAAGGCGGCACUCUGGGCCAGUACUGACGCUGAUGGGCGAAAGCGUGGGGAGCAAACAGGAUUAGAUACCCUGGUAGUCCACGCCGUAAACGUUGGGCACUAGGUGUGGGGGGGUUUCAACGCCCUCUGUGCCGUAGCUAACGCAUUAAGUGCCCCGCCUGGGGAGUACGGCCGCAAGGCUAAA